GACAUUUGAGUGUUUUCAAUUUUUCUAACUAUAUCUGAUUGGUAACCCUACUGACAUUCCGCCCCGCCCCCAUCGCCGGCGUCACCGCCAUCGGUCCUCCUCUUCUCCACGCCUCCAGUGAUCGAUCAUAAGUUUAUACCUAGUAAGUUUACACAAAUAGAAUUUAUCAAGACAAUGGAUCCAUAGGAAGGAUACUCCAUUCUAGUUUGAGGUGCUAGUAGAAACCAUUCCUGCCAUUUUGAAGAGCUCAUUAUUGCCAAGAUCCCUGAUAAACAACUGGGUCAAAGCGUGGCUGUCUAAGUGUCAUGGAGAAGAGCACCAAGGUCUACUACCACUACAAUCAUACCGAUGCUUGUCGCCUCUCCAGAUGGAACACAAGGGAAUGUUACCAAUAUCUCUAUGCAAGGCCAUGGAAAAAGGUGGUGAAUUUCUAUGAAAAUUUGGUGAGCAGCGGAAAGGGCUCUUCCUCGCUCUAUAGCCUAUUCUCCUCUGAGGUAA